CCUACGGGAGGCAGCAGUGGGGAAUAUUGGUCAAUGGGCGCAAGUCUGACCCAGCAACGCCGCGUGAAGGAUGAAGGCUUUCUGGUUUUAAACUUCUUUUUUUAGGGACGUAGCACGUGACGUUACUUGACGAAUAUGCCUCCGCUAACUACGUGCCAGCAGUCCCGGUAAUACGUAGGUGGCAAGCGUUAUCCGGAUUUAUUGGGUGUAAAGGGCGUGUAGGUGGGAAUGCAAGUCAGAUGUGAAAACUAUGGGCUCAACCCAUAGACUGCAUUUGAAACUGUAUUUCUUGAGUGCAGGAGAGGCAAUCGGAAUUCGGGGUGUAGCGGUGAAAUGCGUAGAUAUACGGAGGAACACCAGUGGCGAAGGCAGAUUGCUGGACAGUAACUGACGCUGAGGCGCGAAAGCGUGGGGAGCAAACAGGAUUAGAUACCCUUGUAGUC
rnacentral:rRNA from 1 species